CUUGGGCUGUUGGUGGUCGGUCGUGCAGAGCUCCUCUUCUUCUUCGGAUUUGAUUUUCAAUUGCGGAACGUCCUUUGAGUGCUUCACACAUUUCUCGCUUGCCCAUUGAUUACCAUACUGGGCUCUUUUACCGAACAAAGGAAACGUGCACAAAGGAAUUGCAGCACACAUUGAGGACCGUGUGCAAAGCUGAUUUUGCAGAUAAAAGCCAAAAGUUUCACAGUGAAAGUUGUCGCAAACUUCAAUGGAAGACACAACUCAGCCGGCAGCAGAGAGACGCACAC